rnacentral:rRNA from 1 species
GUGGGGAAUUUUGGACAAUGGGCGAAAGCCUGAUCCAGCCAUGCCGCGUGCAGGAUGAAGGCCUUCGGGUUGUAAACUGCUUUUGUACGGAACGAAAAGACUCCUUCUAAUAAAGGGGGUCCAUGACGGUACCGUAAGAAUAAGCACCGGCUAACUACGUGCCAGCAGCCGCGGUAAUACGUAGGGUGCAAGCGUUAAUCGGAAUUACUGGGCGUAAAGCGUGCGCAGGCGGUUAUAUAAGACAGAUGUGAAAUCCCCGGGCUCAACCUGGGAACUGCAUUUGUGACUGUAGAGCUAGAGUACGGUAGAGGGGGAUGGAAUUCCGCGUGUAGCAGUGAAAUGCGUAGAUAUGCGGAGGAACACCGAUGGCGAAGGCAAUCCCCUGGACCUGUACUGACGCUCAUGCACGAAAGCGUGGGGAGCAAACAGGAUUAGAAACCCGAGUAGUCC